rnacentral:tRNA from 1 species
CAAAGUGUAGCUUAACUAAAGCCCUUCGCUUACACCGAAAUGAUAUCUGUUAAACCCAGAUCACUUUGA